CAGUCGCCACGGUAAUACGAAGGUCCCAAGCGUUGUUCGGAAUCACUGGGCGUAAAGGGAGCGUAGGCGGCGUUGUAAGUCAGAUGUGAAAUCCCGGGGCUCAACCCCGGAACUGCAUCCGAUACUGCCAUGCUUGAGGGUUGGAGAGGUAGCUGGAAUUCUCGGUGUAGCAGUGAAAUGCGUGGAUAUCGAGAGGAACACUCGUGGCGAAGGCGAGCUACUGGACAACAUCUGACGCUGAGGCUCGAAGGCUAGGGUAGCGAAAGGGAUUAGAUACCCCAGUAGUCCCUGUCUCUUAUAU
rnacentral:rRNA from 1 species